rnacentral:rRNA from 1 species
UACGAAGGGGGCUAGCGUUGCUCGGAAUGACUGGGCGUAAAGGGCGCGUAGGCGGUUCAUACAGUCAGAUGUGAAAUUCCCGGGCUUAACCUGGGGGCUGCACUUGAUACGUGUGGGCUUGAGUGAGGAAGAGGGUUGUGGAAUUCCCAGUGUAGAGGUGAAAUUCGUAGAUAUUGGGAAGAACACCGGUGGCGAAGGCGGCUCACUGGCUCAUUUCUGACGCUCAGGCGCGACAGCGUGGGGAUCAAACAGG